UAUGUGUUGCAUAUAGCCUGAAGCUGAACUAUAGGAGUUUUGAAGUCUGUUUCUGAAAAAAUGUUGCUUAAAUAGGCUCAAGACCACAGUUAUCUGCCCCCCGUUGACCAAGAUCCGGAUGUGAAUACAGAAACAAAGAGUGCUUGUGUUCAAGUAUCAAUAUUUUAUUAAAAUUGAAUGAAAAAGAAGCAAAAAAUGUUCUUUUUGCAGAGAACUUGACUGAAUUUGACACUCUAUUGCAGAAAUUGAUAGUUUUCAAUGUAAAUAUUGGAAAAAUCAUAGCUUGUGGCAAGUCUGAAAAUUAGUUGUUUGUAGCCGAUUGACUCCCUGGCGGAAGGGUUAUGUAUUUGAACUCAAUUUUGACAGUCGGGUCAAUGGUCAACAUGGUGUUUUCUUGUGAUUAUAUUUUGUGUCUUGAAUUGUUCUAGAGAUGCCAUGUCCUUGUUUUUCAAUUGGGGUGUGUAUAAAGUCAAAAGCCAGGUUAGUGUCUAUAUGAAACAUAUAGUAAAAAUAACUGUGGUCUCACGCCAUGUCUGACGAGAGAUAUGACUUUGUGGUUUUGGGUGCCACCGGGUUUACGGGGCAGUUUGUUGUCGACGAAGUAGCAAGAGUUGCAGACCAAGAAAAACUCAAGUUUGCAGUUGCAGGAAGGUCCAUGGAAAAGCUGCAGAAAGUCUUGACGGAAUCGUCACAAAGGACAGGCAAAGAAUUAGAGGAAACCCCCAUCAUAAUUGCUGAUGUGAAGAAUGCUUCUUCCUUGGAAGAUAUGUGCAAAAAAGCAAAAGUGGUUCUCAACUGUGUAGGCCCUUAUUGUUUCUGUGGUGAAGACGUAGUUAAAGCCUGCAUAGAAAAUGGUGCCCAUCAUGUUGAUAUCAGUGGGGAACCACAGUACCUUGAGAAGAUGCAGCUACUGUACAGUGGAAAAGCCCGGGAGGCAGGUGUUUACAUCGUAGGGGCAUGUGGGUUUGACAGCGUGCCCGCAGAUAUGGGUGUAGCCUUUGCAACUGAACAGUUUAAAGGAGAUCUGAAUUCUGUUGAACUGUUCAUUUCUUUGGAAGCUGGGCCAGAUGGUCUGGCCGGCAAUGUGACAACCCUGGAAAGUGCCCUGCAUGGUUUUGCCCACGCGGCCGAGCUGAAACCACUGCGCAAAUCUCUCUACCCAAACCGUCUGCCAAGGAGCAAAUACCCGCUAAAAACUAGUUUGAAGUGGCAGCUUAUGCCUGUGUUCCGAAUUUCUUCUAUCUGGCGGUCACCCUGCUGUUUGGACUCAUCGUUGGCAUCUUGGCAAAGUUCAGCUUUGGACGAGCUCUCAUUCUGAAAUAUCCACACAUAUUUACCUUUGGUGUGUUUAAACAAGGAGGACCUUCAAAGAAACAGAUGGAGACAGGAACAUUUAGCAUCACAGUGGUCGGCAAGGGUUGGAAGGAGAAGCUUCCUGAUGCAGACACAGAGCAUGACACAGCCCCCGACACCCAGAUGAUUGUGCGGGUGUCGGGCCCGGAAGCGGGAUAUGUUGCCACGCCAAUUGUCAUGGUUCAGUGCGCCUGUACUCUGCUGAAGGAAAUCUCCCAAGACAAAUUUAGGGGUGGUGUGUACACAACAGCCAUGCUUUUCCGAGAAACAAACCUGAUUGAACGACUCAUCAAAAACAACAUCAAGUUUGAAGUCGUGAUAGAACAAUUCCCUCUGUGAACAAUAGAUGGGCUCAAAUUCCUGUCCAUAUGUGAACAAUAGCUGGGACCUCACUAUCAAAACUAACUUUAUCUUUGCACUCUAAUGUCAUUUGCCAUAACAUUAUGUCAUGUGAGACUUUUGUUUGUAAUCGUCUAUUUAUACAAAUUAUGACAUGCCUUUGUAAACAAAACAAUAAAGAGUAUGUUUAUAUUACUUAAGUAAAAUAAUUAAGGCUCUUCAGAUUCAUAAGUCAUAAUUUUAUAGCUUUUUCAACCUAUGCUUUGAUGUACAACAUAAGGUACCUGUACGCUAAAUUAUACACAUUAUACAAUUACUAAUAUAUGUAAUAUUAACUACAUGUAUAUUCUAGUAAUUAUUGCAAUCAAAAGUCACACCGUAAUUCAAAAGCUUUCUGAUCAUUUACCUUGAGUUAUAAUAUUAGCUACCUGUGUAUUCAAACAAUAUGGGCAAUCAAAAGUUGUAAUUUAAAAGCUUUCUUAAUCUAUAUAGUUUGAGAUACACUAUUUGCUUCAUGUAUAUUUUUGAUAAACCCAAAGAUAAUUGCUAGUAUCUACAUAAAUCAAGUCACAUGAUAAUUAUGAUGUAAGUGGUAAACACCGAGUCCCAGUUGUCUGUGGCUAAAUAUAGAAUGCAGGCACAGAUACAUGUGUGACAAGUACUUAAGUGCUAGAUAUUAGAUGUACAUUUUAGUAGGGGUUUCAAUAAUUUGUAUCUUAUUAGGUCUAUUGAAGAUUGGAUGCACACUUGUGAAUAAACAUGUUAAUAUUAUUCGUUUGUUUUUAUGAAUAACUUGAACAACUUAAAUUAAAUAACCUGCCCAAAACUGAUUAUAGUAGUUCAGAAUAGCAGAAGACCUGAUAAAUAUCAACCACUUGACCUACUGAAUUUUUUUUUCGGUAUUAUAAUUGCGAAAUGUACACAAAAACAUGCAUAGUAUCAAAAUAUUACAUUAUUUUCCUUGUAUAAUGUUCGAACAUUAUUUGUUGCAAUUCUUUGCAUUGCACAUUGCUUCCUUAUUUGUUCAUGUAUUUGUUUUGUUUUUACUGUAUAUGACUUUCUAUAUAACGAUUGCUCUUACUUUUACAUUUAUUAGCUAAACGUACUAUCUUUGACUUGCAGCUGUUAAUAAAGUAUCGCUAUAAAGAAUGCAAUUGGAAUAGUUUUUAUUGUUUUGAGUUUGUGAAAACAAUUUAUUCUAAUAGUCUUGGGAUAGAGUCUGAGUUGAUCAUGACUUGAAAAAUGUUGAAGCUAGUUGAACAUUGUGUUAUUAACUUUAACUUGGAAUCCACAUGCAAUU